UGUGCAUGCGUGCAUACACACACACCUGCGUGUGUGUGUGUGUGCAUAUAUAUAUAUACACACUCAUAAUGUGUAUGGUUUUAGCCAGUUAGUUGAUGGUGUGUGUAUAUAUAUCUAUCUAUAUAUGUAUGUGCACAUAUAUAUAAUGGAUAUGUAUAUUUGUGUGUGUAUAUGUAUAAUAUAAUAUCAUUACUUCCAUAAUUAUCAAGGGAUGAUUAAUAUCAGCUGUCAGUUUGGCAUG